rnacentral:rRNA from 1 species
AUUGAACGCUGGCGGCAGGCCUAACACAUGCAAGUCGAGCGAGCGGCUGACGGGUGAGUAAUGUAUGGGGACUGCCCGAUAGAGGGGGCUCACUACUGGAAACGGUGGCUAAUACCGCAUAAUAUCAGCUAACACAUAUGGGCUUAGCUCGUAGGUGGGGUAAAGGCUCACCUCGGCGACGAUCUCUAGCUGGUCUGAGGGGCUGAUCAGCCACACCGGGACUAAGACACGGCCCAGACUCCUACGGAGGCAGCAGUGGGGAAUAUUGCACAAUGGGCGCAAGCCUGAUGCAGCCAUGCCGCGUGUAUGAAGAAGGCCUUAGGGUUGUAAAGUACUUUCAGCGGGGAGGCGUUACCCGCAGAAGAAGCACCGGCUAACUCCGUGACAGCAGCCGCGGUAAUAC